UGGGGAAUUUUGCACAAUGGGGGAAACCCUGAUGCAGCGACGCCGCGUGAUUUAGAAGGCCUUCGGGUUGUAAAAAUCUUUUUUACGGGAUGAAAAUGACAGUACCGUAAGAAUAAGGUCCGGCUAAAUACGUGCCAGCAGCCGCGGUAAUACGUAUGGACCGAGCGUUGUCCGGAAUCAUUGGGCGCAAAGGGUACGUAGGCGGCCUAGUAAGUUAGAAGUGAAAUAAUAUAGCUCAACUAUAUAAAGCUUUUAAAACUGCUAGACUUGAGAGAUGGAAGGGAAAGUGGAAUUCCUAGUGUAGCGGUGAAAUGCGCAGAUAUUAGGAAGAAUACCGGUGGCGAAGGCGACUUUCUGGUCAUCAUCUGACGCUGAGGUACGAAAGCGUGGGUAGCAAACAGG
rnacentral:rRNA from 1 species